rnacentral:rRNA from 1 species
AUGGCAAAUUUACUUCAACAUUCAUGGCAAUUUUUUUCCUGCAUGAAAUUAUUUACUCUUUUUUUGCCAUUUCAAAUUUACCUUUAUUUUGUCAUGGCAACAUUUACCUUUUAUUUGCCAUGCCAAAAUAAAGGAAAAUUCAUGGAGCAUGGCAAAUUUAACUUUCUGCUUUGCCAUGUCAACUUUUACUUUUUUUCGCCAUGGCAAAAUUUUACGUUCAUUGCCAUGGCAAUUUUACCUUUAAAUACUUGGCAAAUUUAUUGUUACAUACAUGGCAAAUUUUACUUUGUUUUGCCAUGUCAAAAGAAUUACUUUUAA